rnacentral:rRNA from 1 species
GACGAACGCUGGCGGCGUGCUUAACACAUGCAAGUCGAACGGAAAGGCCCUGCUUUGGUGGGGUGCUCGAGUGGCGAACGGGUGAGUAACACGUGAGUAACCUGCCCUUGACUUUGGGAUAACUUCAGGAAACUGGGGCUAAUACCGGAUAGGAGCUCCUGCUGCAUGGUGGGGGUUGGAAAGUUUCGGCGGUUGGGGAUGGACUCGCGGCUUAUCAGCUUGGGGGUGGGGUAGUGGCUUACCAAGGCCUUGACGGAGAGCCGGCCCGAGAGGGGGAACAGCCACAAGGGGCCUACGAGACGGACCAGUCUGCUACGGGAGGCAGUAGUGGGGAAUAUUGCACAGUGGGGGGAAGUCUGAUGCAGCAACGCCGCGUGCGGGAAGACGGCCUUCGGGUUGUAAACCGCUUUCGCCUGUGACGAAGGGUGAGUGACGGUAACGGGUAAAGAAGCACCGGCUAACUACGUG